rnacentral:ncRNA from 1 species
UAAAAAACGCUGAAAAGAAAAGUAGCUUUACUCAUUUUUUAAGAGAGUCUCUGGUUGGUGUGAAGAGAUAAAAGGAUAAGGUGAAACACAUCUUGGAGUUGAUUUUCUGAAGUGAUUAGUAGGAAAAUCCGGGUAUGCCCGUUAUCGCUUUAGUCAAGUUGACUAGCUAAGAUAAUUACUGUGAGGUAAUUAUGAAUAAAAGGUGGAACCACGUUGAUACGUCCUUUAA